rnacentral:tRNA from 2 species
AGCUUUAUAUUCAAAAUGAUACCAAAUUGCAAGUUUGGUGGUGGAUUAUUCCUAAGGCUU